rnacentral:rRNA from 1 species
CCUACGGGGGGCUGCAGUGGGGAAUAUUGGACAAUGGGGGCAACCCUGAUCCAGCCAUGCCGCGUGUGUGAAGAAGGCCCUCGGGUUGUAAAGCACUUUCAGUGAGGAAGAACGCCUGGUGGUUAAUACCCAUCAGGAAAGACAUCACUCACAGAAGAAGCACCGGCUAACUCCGUGCCAGCAGCCGCGGUAAUACGGAGGGUGCGAGCGUUAAUCGGAAUUACUGGGCGUAAAGCGCGCGUAGGUGGCUUGAUAAGCCGGUUGUGAAAGCCCCGGGCUCAACCUGGGAACGGCAUCCGGAACUGUCAAGCUAGAGUGCAGGAGAGGAAGGUAAAAUUCCCGGUGUAGCGGUGAAAUGCGUAGAGAUCGGGAGGAAUACCAGUGGCGAAGGCGGCCUUCUGGACUGACACUGACACUGAGGUGCGAAAGCGUGGGUAGCAAACAGGAUUAGAUACCCGAGUAGUC